AUCCCUGUUGCACAAUGGAUAGCGCUUUGGACAUCUAAUUCAAAGGUCGUGUGUUCGAAUCCUACCUGGGAGU